GUGCUCGCUUUAGCAGCACAUAUACUAAAAAAUUGGAACGAUACAGAGAAGUUUAGCAUGCCCCCUGUGCAAGGAUGAUAUGCAAAUUCAUGAAGCAUAUUAUAUUUUU